GUCGAACGCUGGCGGCGUGCCUAAUACAUGCAAGUAGGACGCAGUUGCGAACGGGAGAGUAACGCGUAGGUAACUAGCUAUUAGAGGGGGCUAACUAUUGGAAACGAUAGCUAAUACCGCAUACUAGUAGAUGGACCUGCGUUGUAUUAGCUAGUAGGUAGGGUAAUGGACUACCUAGGCAAAGAUUCAUAGCCGACCUGGGUGGGUGGUCCGCCAACCCGGGAAUGGAGACCGGGCCAUGAUCCUGCCGGAGGGAGCCGUAGGGGAUCUUUGGACAUUGGGGGAACCCUUGACGAGCCAAGCCGCGUGAGUUGAGGAGGUUCUCGGAUUGUAAAGCUCUGUUGUUCAGGGAGCGGUACUUAACCAGAAAGCGACGGCUAACUACGUGCCAGCAGCCGCGGUAAUAC
rnacentral:rRNA from 1 species